GAUGAACGCUGGCGGCGUGCCUAAUACAUGCAAGUAGAACGCUGAAGGAAGGAGCUUGCUCUUUCCGGAUGAGUUGCGAACGGGUGAGUAACGCGUAGGUAACCUGCCUGGUAGCGGGGGAUAACUAUUGGAAACGAUAGCUAAUACCGCAUAACAGUAGAUGUUGCAUGAUAUCUACUUAAAAGGUGCAAUUGCACCACUACCAGAUGGACCUGCGUUGUAUUAGCUAGUUGGUGAGGUAACGGCUCACCAAGGCGACGAUACAUAGCCGACCUGAGAGGGUGAUCGGCCACACUGGGACUGAGACACGGCCCAGACUCCUACGGGAGGCAGCAGUAGGGAAUCUUCGGCAAUGGGCGGAAGUCUGACCGAGCAACGCCGCGUGAGUGAAGAAGGUUUUCGGAUCGUAAAGCUCUGUUGUAAGAGAAGAACGAGUGUGAGAGUGGAAAGUUCACACUGUGACGGUAUCUUACCAGAAAGGGACGGCUAACUACGU
rnacentral:rRNA from 1 species